rnacentral:rRNA from 1 species
UACGAAGGGGGCUAGCGUUGCUCGGAAUCACUGGGCGUAAAGCGCACGUAGGCGGAUUCUUAAGUCAGGGGUGAAAUCCCGGAGCUCAACUCCGGAACUGCCUCUGAUACAGCACGUCUUGAGUUCGAGAGAGGUGGGUGGAAUUCCUAGUGUAGAGGUGAAAUUCGUAGAUAUUAGGAAGAACACCGAUGGCGAAGGCAGGUCUCUGGGCAUUAACUGACGCUGAGGAGCGAAAGCAUGGGGAGCGAACAGG